rnacentral:rRNA from 1 species
AUUGAACGCUGGCGGCAGGCCUAACACAUGCAAGUCGAACGAGUGGCGGACGGGUGAGUAAUGUCUGGGAAACUGCCCGAUGGAGGGGGAUAACUACUGGAAACGGUAGCUAAUACCGCAUACCAUCGGAUGUGCCCAGAUGGGAUUAGCUAGUAGGUGGGGUAACGGCUCACCUAGGCGACGAUCCCUAGCUGGUCUGAGAGGAAGACCAGACACACUGGAACUGAGACACGGUCCAGAAUCCUACGGAAGGCAGCAGAGGGGAAUAUAGCAAAAUGGGCGAAAGCCAGAUGCAGCAAUGCCACGUGUAUGAAGAAGGCCUUCGGGUUGUAAAGUACUUUCAGCGAAGAGGCGUUACUCGCAGAAGAAGCACCAGCUAACUCCGUGCCAGCAGCCGCGGUAAUAC